CAUCGCUGUAUUUUCCAUUAAUUUUUUUUUCCAGAGCUAAUGCACAGCAGCCAAAGCUGUUCGUGGGCAUGAUUCUCAUUCUCAUCUUUGCUGAAGCACUCGCUCUCUAUGGUCUCAUUGUGGGGAUCAUUCUAUCAUCCCGAGCUGGUCAGUCUCGUGCAGAAUGAAGAGUGCCAAAGCUUAUGGUUUCUUGAUGUCCUAUAUCAUGAUUUAGAAUGGGAACUGAGACUAUGUUUGCAUUGUUCGAUUCAAUUUGCUAUAAUUGCCAAACUCUUGUAUACAUGGGAUUCUCAGCAUCCCUGUAAUCUUACUAUAUGAUAAACCUCCCUUCUUGCGCUGAAUUCGUGAGUUCAAAACAAUUCCCAACGCUGAUGCCUUUAGAACGAUCCUGUUAAUCUUUAAAAGCAAGGUUGAUUUUCAUGCUUAUUCAAAUUUUCUUUUCCCUGUGAAUGAGCAUGCAUAGGAUUUCAAUUUAUGAAAAGAACUUAUCUACUUAUUCAAAUUGAUGACUGGCAUGAUGCUGAUUAUAAUCCAGUGGCCGUGAAAUAGAGACCAUUUUUGCCGGUAAAAAGAGGGGGGAAAAACCCAGUAGAUCAGUCCUUAAGAAAUGCAGGCAGAUGUCAUGGGUUCAUUUGAUGUGUUCACCUUCUAUAUGCUUUUAUUUGAAUCAAGAUCAUUUCCACAUACUGGGUUUUUGAUCAUUUCCACAUACUGGGUUUUGACAUGACCAGAUGGAUGGUUCAAGCAUUAUGACAGGUGACCGUAAUUAUAUUUUUGCAAUUAGGCUAAUUGUCUUGUGAGGACUGACGUGCUUAAUUAAAGCCCUAAAAUUUACCCAGAUGAUGAUGGACGAUUCCAAUUGAUUGGCCAAAAAGGAAUCAUUCAGCCGAGUGUCGCCGAUGAGGAUCAAUAAACCCCACAGGCCACAGAAGACUUGACCAGAAUUGCCCACAAGGACAGGCGCAUAAACAUAAGCAGACACGGAUAAAGAAGAGAGAGAUGGCAGUAGCAUCGGCAACAAAAGCAGAAGCAAGUGGAGGAACCCAAGAUUUUGUGGAACGAGAACGAACGCAGGUUUGAAACCGAAGACAAGGAAGCAUACGGAAGAUUAUGUCCUCGUAUGUGAUGGGAAAGUGAUCGACCUUGCAUUCCUAUGUGCCACGUUCCAAGAGGGGAUUGGGCAUGGCUUCUCAUCUCUGCGUUGCAGCCUUCAAUCAUGCCAAAUCCACUCCCAUGUUUAUCAGCCCCACUUGCUCUCAUGUAUCCUGCAAGUUCAAUCACCCCCCAAUCUUCUUAGCAUCCCUUUCUGGGCCUUCUUUUUUCUGCAGUCUUUGAUACUUAUUUUUUUUCCCCUCUUAUUACCUUGGUGUUUUUAAUAGAUAAAGGCAGGAAAACAUGGAUAAUUAGGGUGUAUUUGGGAUAAAGGUAGUGGACACUUCACGGAACCCAUCUUGGAAUCCUCGUGUACUCUGAAGGUCUCAAACCUAGCAUGUAACCUGGAGCAACGUUUUUUCAUCGUUUUUAGAAUUUUGAAGAGCAAUUAACUUAAUCACAUAAAUUAUGAAUAGCAAAGGCAUUGGAGUUUGGGACACGCCGGAUUUAUUUUGUAUCUGUUUAGUGUCCAAUCAAUGGUUUGGGAAAUGCAUACCAAGAACGUCAUGAGCAGCGACUGCAGCACAGGAGCAGGCUGCCUCGCUUGUUAUUUGCAAUUGGCAUCAGCGAUAAUUACGAUAGUUCAUGAAUCUUUGCAAACUUCCCUGAAGAGGAAUUACAGCAACCUGAUUGUUUUCUUGAUACGCUCGCGUCCCAUUUUCCUACACUUUUCACCAUUUCCCCCCUUGUUAAGAAGCUGAGAAUUUAAUUGUCAAAUGUUCGUCCGCUGCAUCUGAUCAGGAAUCCGUGAUGAAAGCAAAUAACAACAGUUGGUACACAACACAACACAACAUUUCAUCUGAUAAAUACAAAUUUAGUUCAACGAACACAAGGCAAAAAAAAAUAUAAUUCACCAUAUGAUACAACAUAC